rnacentral:misc_RNA from 1 species
AACAAAUUGAUAAUUCUUCCAAAGGGAAGCUAUAACCUCAAGUCUUCCAUGGGACCCAAGAAUUUAGGUUUGGCAACUCCAAGACUACUGCAAUAUGCAGGGAAUAAAAAUGAUGACAUGGGUGCUGAGUCAACACUUAUAAUAAUUGGGAAUUUGUCCAUAUAUCCACUUGGCAAAAAAAACUUAACAUUGCUUGUCAUUUGGGUGGGUUUGUGCAGUGGUGGCAAUAACUCCCAUGGGAGGGCUUUUAUUCUCCGGUCAUAAAAAUUUUGUCCGUCACACCACCAAGAUUAUUUUUACUUAUAUAACUUAAUAUAUACUUUCAAUAAUGAAAAUAGUUUCAGUGUCUCUAAUAUUAGGGUAGGGCUACAGGAUCUCAGAGCCACUAAAUAUACAGUUCAGAAGAGGAAGGAUUAGAGGGGAAAAUAAUAUUUUUCAACGCAUCACAUCAUGCAAAUUAAGCAAAAACCAUUAAAGAAAAGCAAAGCAACA